AUCCGCGGCGCUAGGACGUUAAAUGCACCAGACCCCCACGGAUCACUGAAGUUAAGCAACGUUGCGCGUGGUUAGUACCUGGAUGGGUGACCGUCGGAGGAAUCGCGUGCUCCUGGGU
rnacentral:rRNA from 1 species